rnacentral:rRNA from 1 species
CCUACGGGAGGCUGCAGUGGGGAAUAUUGCACAAUGGGGGAAACCCUGAUGCAGCAACGCCGCGUGAAGGAAGACGGUUUUCGGAUUGUAAACUUCUGUUCUUAGGGAAGAAUAAUGACGGUAGCGAAGGAGCAAGCCACGGCUAACUACGUGCCAGCAGCCGCGGUAAUAAGUAGGUGGGAAGGGUUGUCCGGAAUUACUGGGGGUAAAGGGAGCGCAGGCGGGAAGCCAAGUCAGCUGUGAAAACGACGGGCUUAACUUGUAGACUGCAGUUGAAACUGGUUGUCUUGAGUGAAGUAGAGGUUGGCGGAAUUCCGAGUGUAGCGGUGAAAUGCGUAGAUAGUCGGAGGAACACCGGUGGCGAAGGCGGCCAACUGGGCUUUAACUGACGCUGAGGCUCGAAAGUGUGGGGAGCAAACAGGAUUAGAUACCCCAGUAGUC